UGCGCGCUUACACAUGCAAGUCGAGCGAGAACAGUCCUUCGGGCACUGGGGAAAGCGGCGAACGGGUAACACGUGGGUAUCUGCCCUCGAGCACUGGGAUAGCCCGGGGAAACCCGGAUUAAUACCGGGAUAGCCUUUCGAGUCCUCGUGACUCGUCAGAAAAGGUGGCUUCGGCUUCCGGCUGAGGAUGAGCCCGCGGCGGAUUAGCUUGUUGGUGGGGUAAUGGCCCACCAAUGCUCCGAUCCGUAGCUGGUCUGAGAGGACGAUCAGCCACACUGGGACUGAGACACGGCCCAGACUCCUACGGGAGGCAGCAGUGGGGAAUCUUGCGCAAUGGGCGAAAGCCUGACGCAGCGACGCCGCGUGCGGGAAGAAGGCCUUCGGGUUGUAAACCGCUUUCAGGAGGGACGAAGCCACUCGGGUUAAUAGCCCAGAGGGUGACGGUAACUCCAGACGAAGCCCCGGCUAACUACGUGCCAGCAGCCGACGGUAAUACGUACGGGGCAAGCGUUGUCCGGAUUAAUAGGGCGUAAAGCGCGUGUAGGCGAGCAAGUACGUCGGCUGUGAAAACUCGACGCUCAACACUCAGAUG
rnacentral:rRNA from 1 species